UUCCCUGUCGAUCCCCAAAUCUAGCUAAGAGAAACCCCAGGCGAGCAGUGUUCCUCAAUCGAUCCCCCAAAUCCCCAAUGGAAACAAAGAACCUAGGCGGUGAUGAUAGCAAACCCGAACCAAGGCGUGGAUCCGGUGACCCUGCCAAUCGUUCCUUGCCCGGACUGUGGUAGGAACGUAGUCACGUAUGUAGCUCGCCGCGGGCAGAACGCCGGCCGGCGAGCGUUUCUACAAGUGCCGCAAUCACAAUCCAUCAGCUAGUGGGCGCGAUUUCUAUAGGUGGCAACAAACUUACGCCGACCAUCUCGCCUCUCUUGGUCCAGCUGCACCCCCACUGGCGCAUGAGCAGCAGUAGUUGCAAGCAUGUUGGGAUUUCCAUUUGCUACUGGAGAUGUUUGCUGGGCAGGAGAGGCGUCUGCGGCAACUGCAUGUUCAUUCAGAAGUUUCAGAUACAGGCAAGGCUAGAGUACUAUAUUCUUCCGGACAUUUUAGCAUUUUUGAUUCAGGUGCAAGCCACUUGUCCAUGUAUUUUCUUCGGGCUUACUGAUUUUAAUUUUGUGUCGGGUACAUACGGGCAUGUUCAAAAAAAAUGUUUGUUUGUUUUCAGGGUUGUUGAAAGCCAAAGACAGGGCAAUACAAAUUUUACCUGCCGCCAACAAGUCCAUCCCAUGUGUUAUUUCGCCUGGAGCAGGUAUUGGAGUUGCAUCCCACACAGGGCCACCCCCAGUGAAAGCAACAAGAUUACCUGUCAAGACAAGACAAGUCUAGUUUUCGCAAGUUAGUUGGUUGAUUCAUUUCUGCAGUGUGACACCUGAGAGGUGGCACUCAUGUACCUGCACCCAUGGACGGCAUGUUCAUCGACUGCGUUAUAAAAGGUGGUCUUCUGUUAGAAGGAAAUGUAGCAGGCCCAACCGACGUUACUAUGACUUCUGUAUGUACAGCCAUGUUGUCGUCAUUGCUUAGUACAGGACCAUCUAAGUAGAAGUCAGGCCAGCAAGUCAGCAAGAAGCAGUUAAGAUGGCAGAAUUACUAUAUUCUGUUUUUUGUUGACAAUUUGUGGUAACUGCAUUUUUUUCGAAACGGAGGCAAAGAUUGCCUCAUCUAUUAAUUAAGCAGAAGAGAAUUGCCCAGUUAAUUACGGAAAA